rnacentral:rRNA from 1 species
GACGAACGCUGGCGGCGUGCUUAACACAUGCAAGUCGAACGAUGAAGGAGAGCUUGCUCUCCGGAUUAGUGGCGAACGGGUGAGUAACACGUGACUAACCUGCCCCUUUCUCUGGGAUAACGCUCCGAAAGGAGCGCUAAUACCGGAUACGAACUCUGAACACAUGUUCGGAGUUGGAAAGUUUUUCGGAAAGGGAUGGAGUCGCGGCCUAUCAGCUAGUUGGUGAGGUAACGGCUCACCAAGGCGACGACGGGUAGCCGGGCUGAGAGGGCGCCCGGCCACACUGGGACUGAGCCACGGCCCAGACUCCUACGGGAGGCAGCAGUGGGGAAUAUUGCACAAUGGGCGAAAGCCUGAUGCAGCGACGCCGCGUGAGGGAUGAAGGUCGUCGGAUUGUAAACCUCUUUCAGUAGGGACGAAGCGAAAGUGACGGUACCUAAAGAAGAAGCACCGGCUAACUACGUGCCAGCCGCCGCCGUAA